rfam:Triticum aestivum genome assembly, contig: Triticum_aestivum_CS42_TGACv1_scaffold_641043_T_4AL-0.195456_6BL-0.172365
UUAUUACUCCCUCCGUCCGAAAAUAUUUAUCGGAAAAAUGCAUAAAAAUAAAUGUAUUUAGAAUUAAAAUACGUCUAGAUACAUCCAUUCCUCCGACAAGUAUUUCCAGACGGAGGGAGUAUUAG